UUAUGUUGACAGUUUGUGCAUCUGAUCUGCUAUGAUGAAUAUAGCACAUUACCUCUGUGGUCUUCUUCCUGAAAACCCAUACCCUGUCCAAUCAAGAGAAAAACAUCAGACAAAUCCCAGUUGAUGGUUAUUUUACUAUGGAUGCUUUGCAGUUGCCAAGAGAACAGUAAGCCAUGUGCUGGGAUAUCCAUCAGGGGUGCAUGCCUCACUACAACACAGGAAGAAGGGAGAGGAAAUUGAAAGAAUGGUGCCAGGUACCGAAGGUGAAUGGCUUGAAUCCAUAUUCACCGGAGAACAAGAGGUUAAACAAGAUGCAUUUGGAUAGUGUUUACAUAUGAUGUUUGCAGGAUCUCUGAAAGUGCUUCUGGCUCUUCACCCAUCUAUAGUGAGGGGGCUGAAGAUGGUGGCAGAGAAAAGGCAUCAACUCCAUCCCAGACAAAGAUGUGUGAUGAAGCUUAACAUUAAGAUUUUUCUGGAGCAUCAUUACAUCUCCAAUUAACUCUCCAUAAACACACACUUGAAAUUAUGAAAUAUUCCAUGAAACUUAGAGAUGGGAAAUGCAGCAUUUAAGAAAUAAAAUGUUAAUGUUCCUCAAGUUUCUGGAGAAAAACAAAUUAAGAGAAAUAAAAAAAAUUAAACAUAAAA